GCUUAGGCGACUUUGCUGCUUCUUGCGUGAGUUUGAGAGCAGAUUCUUGGAGAGCAUUGAGCCACCAGCUAAGCCAAGUAACCGAUCGUUAGUAUAGACGUACCACCAAUUGCUCGUUAUGGGACGAUAGCGCAUAUUGAUGUAUCUUUCCAUGACGUGUAUGAUCCCGAUAUCGAGCGGACCUACAUGAGAUAUGAGACUACACUUUGGAUGGAUGAUGGCAGGGUAAACUGGAUUCCUAUUAAGUUUGUUGCGUAGUUUGUAAAUCACGAGGGGGAGCUAUUUGACCCUCUUCAGUUCGGUGCUAGAGGACCUGGAGUCGGGGCAGGAGGUGCUUAGGCGCCUAGAUCGUGGUGAAGCCAGAGAAGACGUCUUUUUUCUUUUUUUUUUAAUUUUUUUAUGGAUGUGGGCUAGUGUGGGGGUAGUGAAGUUAGGAACCCUCUCACCUUUUUCCCCUAGCUGUUUACUUACACUUUUGAUAAGAACGUGUAAAUGUGUUGUACAUAGGUGAAGAGCUUGUAAUUAAUCCAGGUCGAUGUUUGUAAGCCCGAAUGCUUUUUAACUGGAAAGUUAAUGAAGCUCCUCAUGAUCCUUAUAUA